GCCUGUUUAACAAAAACAUCGCCUUUUGAGUUUAGUAGGAGGUCUGGCCUGCCCGCUGUGAGUGAAGGGCCGCAGUAUUUUGACUGUGCAAAGGUAGCAUAAUAAUUAGUCUUUUAAUUGGAGGCUGGCAUGAAUGGUUGGAUGAGGUAAUAGCUGUCUCAGAUGAGUAAAUUAUAAUUUAGCUUUUUAGUUAAAAGGCUUAAAUGAAGUUAGAGGACGAGAAGACCCUAUAGAUCUUUACAGAAUUAUAUUUAGUAGUAAGAUGAACUGAGAUUGAAUAAACAUUUUGUUUGGUUGGGGUGACGAGGAAAUAAACUAACUUUCUUUAAAUUUACAUUUAUAAAUGAAUAAAUGAUCCAUUCUUAGUGAUUAUAAGAGUAAGUUACCUUAGGGAUAACAGCAUAAUCUUCUUGGAGAGUUCAAAUCGAUAAGAGGGGUUGUGACCUCGAUGUUGGAUUAAGAUUUAGCCCAGGUGUAGCAGUUUGGGAUAGGGGUCUGUUCGACCAUUAAAAUCUUACAUGAUCUGAGUUCAAACCGGAGCUCC
rnacentral:rRNA from 1 species